AGUGAACGCUGGCGGUAGGCCUAACACAUGCAAGUCGAACGGCAGCACAGUAAGAGCUUGCUCUUACGGGUGGCGAGUGGCGGACGGGUGAGGAAUAAAUCGGAAUCUACUUUUUCGUGGGGGAUAACGUAGGGAAACUUACGCUAAUACCGCAUACGACCUACGGGUGAAAGCAGGGGAUCUUCGGACCUUGCGCGAUUGAAUGAGCCGAUGUCGGCUUAGCUAGUUGGCGGGGUAAAGGCCCACCAAGGCGACGAUCCGUAGCUGGUCUGAGAGGAUGAUCAGCCACACUGGAACUGAAACACGGUCCAGACUCCUACGGGAGGCAGCAGUGGGGAAUAUUGGACGAUGGGGGCAAGCCUGAUCCAGCCAUACCGCGUGGGUGAAGAAGGCCUUCGGGUUGUAAAGCCCUUUUGUUGGGAAAGAAAAGCAGCAGGUUAAUACCCCGCUGUUCUGACGGUACCCAAAGAAUAAGCACCGGCUAACUUCGUG
rnacentral:rRNA from 1 species